rnacentral:rRNA from 1 species
GAUGAACGCUGGCGGCGUGCUUAACACAUGCAAGUCGAGCGAAGCGCUUUGGUUAGAUUCUUCGGAUGAAGACCUUUGUGACUGAGCGGCGGACGGGUGAGUAACGCGUGGGUAACCUGCCUCAUACAGGGGGAUAACAGUUAGAAAUGACUGCUAGUACCGCAUAAGCGCACAGCAUCGCAUGAUGUCGUGUGAAAAACUCCGGUGGUAUGAGAUGGACCCGCGUCUGAUUAGGUAGUUGGCGGGGUAACGGCCCACCAAGCCCGACGAUCAGUAGCCGACCUGAGAGGGUGACCGGCCACGUUGGGACUGAGACACGGCCCAAACUCCUACGGGAGGCAGCAGUGGGGAAUAUUGCACAAUGGG